rnacentral:rRNA from 1 species
GGGUUGUGAGGUUAAGCGACUAAGCGUACACGGUGGAUGCCCUGGCAGUCAGAGGCGAUGAAGGACGUGUUAAUCUGCGAUAAGCGUCGGUAAGGUGAUAUGAACCGUUAUAACCGGCGAUUUCCGAAUGGGGAAACCCAGUGUGAUUCGUCACACUAUCAUUAACUGAAUCCAUAGGUUAAUGAGGCGAACCGGGGGAACUGAAACAUCUAAGUACCCCGAGGAAAAGAAAUCAACCGAGAUUCCCCCAGUAGCGGCGAGCGAACGGGGAGGAGCCCAGAGCCUGAAUCAGUGUGUGUGUUAGUGGAAGCGUCUGGAAAGGCGCGCGAUACAGGGUGACAGCCCCGUACACAAAAAUGCACAUGCUGUGAGCUCGAUGAGUAGGGCGGGACACGUGGUAUCCUGUCUGAAUAUGGGGGGACCAUCCUCCAAGGCUAAAUACUCCUGACUGACCGAUAGUGAACCAGUACCGUGAGGGAAAGGCGAAAAGAACCCCGGCGAGGGGAGUGAAAAAGAACCUGAAACCGUGUACGUACAAGCAGUGGGAGCCUCUUUUAUGGGGUGACUGCGUACCUUUUGUAUAAUGGGUCAGCGACUUAUAUUCUGUAGCAAGGUUAACCGAAUAGGGGAGCCGAAGGGAAACCGAGUCUUAACUGGGCGUUAAGUUGCAGGGUAUAGACCCGAAACCCGGUGAUCUAGCCAUGGGCAGGUUGAAGGUUGGGUAACACUAACUGGAGGACCGAACCGACUAAUGUUGAAAAAUUAGCGGAUGACUUGUGGCUGGGGGUGAAAGGCCAAUCAAACCGGGAGAUAGCUGGUUCUCCCCGAAAGCUAUUUAGGUAGCGCCUCGUGAAUUCAUCUCCGGGGGUAGAGCACUGUUUCGGCAAGGGGGUCAUCCCGACUUACCAACCCGAUGCAAACUGCGAAUACCGGAGAAUGUUAUCACGGGAGACACACGGCGGGUGCUAACGUCCGUCGUGAAGAGGGAAACAACCCAGACCGCCAGCUAAGGUCCCAAAGUCAUGGUUAAGUGGGAAACGAUGUGGGAAGGCCCAGACAGCCAGGAUGUUGGCUUAGAAGCAGCCAUCAUUUAAAGAAAGCGUAAUAGCUCACUGGUCGAGUCGGCCUGCGCGGAAGAUGUAACGGGGCUAAACCAUGCACCGAAGCUGCGGCAGCGACACUGUGUGUUGUUGGGUAGGGGAGCGUUCUGUAAGCCUGUGAAGGUGUACUGUGAGGUAUGCUGGAGGUAUCAGAAGUGCGAAUGCUGACAUAAGUAACGAUAAAGCGGGUGAAAAGCCCGCUCGCCGGAAGACCAAGGGUUCCUGUCCAACGUUAAUCGGGGCAGGGUGAGUCGACCCCUAAGGCGAGGCCGAAAGGCGUAGUCGAUGGGAAACAGGUUAAUAUUCCUGUACUUGGUGUUACUGCGAAGGGGGGACGGAGAAGGCUAUGUUGGCCGGGCGACGGUUGUCCCGGUUUAAGCGUGUAGGCUGGUUUUCCAGGCAAAUCCGGAAAAUCAAGGCUGAGGCGUGAUGACGAGGCACUACGGUGCUGAAGCAACAAAUGCCCUGCUUCCAGGAAAAGCCUCUAAGCAUCAGGUAACAUCAAAUCGUACCCCAAACCGACACAGGUGGUCAGGUAGAGAAUACCAAGGCGCUUGAGAGAACUCGGGUGAAGGAACUAGGCAAAAUGGUGCCGUAACUUCGGGAGAAGGCACGCUGAUAUGUAGGUGAAGUCCCUCGCGGAUGGAGCUGAAAUCAGUCGAAGAUACCAGCUGGCUGCAACUGUUUAUUAAAAACACAGCACUGUGCAAACACGAAAGUGGACGUAUACGGUGUGACGCCUGCCCGGUGCCGGAAGGUUAAUUGAUGGGGUCAGCGCAAGCGAAGCUCUUGAUCGAAGCCCCGGUAAACGGCGGCCGUAACUAUAACGGUCCUAAGGUAGCGAAAUUCCUUGUCGGGUAAGUUCCGACCUGCACGAAUGGCGUAAUGAUGGCCAGGCUGUCUCCACCCGAGACUCAGUGAAAUUGAACUCGCUGUGAAGAUGCAGUGUACCCGCGGCAAGACGGAAAGACCCCGUGAACCUUUACUAUAGCUUGACACUGAACAUUGAGCCUUGAUGUGUAGGAUAGGUGGGAGGCUUUGAAGUGUGGACGCCAGUCUGCAUGGAGCCGACCUUGAAAUACCACCCUUUAAUGUUUGAUGUUCUAACGUGGACCCGUGAUCCGGGUUGCGGACAGUGUCUGGUGGGUAGUUUGACUGGGGCGGUCUCCUCCUAAAGAGUAACGGAGGAGCACGAAGGUUGGCUAAUCCUGGUCGGACAUCAGGAGGUUAGUGCAAUGGCAUAAGCCAGCUUGACUGCGAGCGUGACGGCGCGAGCAGGUGCGAAAGCAGGUCAUAGUGAUCCGGUGGUUCUGAAUGGAAGGGCCAUCGCUCAACGGAUAAAAGGUACUCCGGGGAUAACAGGCUGAUACCGCCCAAGAGUUCAUAUCGACGGCGGUGUUUGGCACCUCGAUGUCGGCUCAUCACAUCCUGGGGCUGAAGUAGGUCCCAAGGGUAUGGCUGUUCGCCAUUUAAAGUGGUACGCGAGCUGGGUUUAGAACGUCGUGAGACAGUUCGGUCCCUAUCUGCCGUGGGCGCUGGAGAACUGAGGGGGGCUGCUCCUAGUACGAGAGGACCGGAGUGGACGCAUCACUGGUGUUCGGGUUGUCAUGCCAAUGGCACUGCCCGGUAGCUAAAUGCGGAAGAGAUAAGUGCUGAAAGCAUCUAAGCACGAAACUUGCCCCGAGAUGAGUUCUCCCUGACCCUUUAAGGGUCCUGAAGGAACGUUGAAGACGACGACGUUGAUAGGCCGGGUGUGUAAGCGCAGCGAUGCGUUGAGCUAACCGGUACUAAUGAACCGUGAGGCUUAACCUUACAACGCCGAAGGUGUUU